rnacentral:sRNA from 1 species
UGGAUAUGAUGAAGUG